UACUAGACGGCCUCUGCAGCCACGCAAGUUGCCCCUCAGAACAAAGCAGGGUUUUCCCCCAAACCAUCAAAACCUUAAGGAAAGCUGUAACCAGAUGAAGUCCCCCAAGGAAGCGUUUUUACUUAAACACUGAUUCUUAACCCUGGUUCUUAGCGUUGCUCUCGCCCUGCACCUCUGCGGUUCCCUCCGCCUCCUUCUCAUCACCUUUUUCCUCCCCUCCCUCUCCUUUCCUCCCUCCCUCCCUCCGUGCCUCAGCUCUCCUGCCACCGCCCCGCUCCCCGCCCUUAGGCUUAGGCCCUCCUCAGCCUUGUGCUCUGCCCCCCUUUAAGGGGGAGGGGGGGGGAGGGGAAUGCUGUGGCUUUGAGGCUGUUUAUUCUAUGGCUCCCCAGGAACGGCAAAGACGCUGGUUGUUCGUGCUCUUGCUAACGAAUGUAGCCGAGGUGACAGGAAAAUACCGUUUUUUAUGAGAAAAGCUUCAGACUGCCUGGGACAAUGGGUGGGGGAAUCAGAACGUCAGCUUCGCUCGUUAUUUGAACAGGGGCUUGAAACUGAGUUGUGUGGGGAAGGAACAAAACGAGAAAACUUUGCAAAGCAAGAGAUUACCUCCCACCAAAACAGCCACUGAAAAGUCUGCAGGAGGCAA